UACGUAGGCGGCAAGCGUUGUCCGGAAUUAUUGGGCGUAAAGGGAGCGCAGGCGGGAAACUAAGCGGAUCUUAAAAGUGCGGGGCUCAACCCCGUGAUGGGGUCCGAACUGGUUUUCUUGAGUGCAGGAGAGGAAAGCGGAAUUCCCAGUGUAGCGGUGAAAUGCGUAGAUAUUGGGAAGAACACCAGUGGCGAAGGCGGCUUUCUGGACUGUAACUGACGCUGAGGCUCGAAAGCUAGGGUAGCGAACGGGAUUAGAUACCCCGGUGACUACU
rnacentral:rRNA from 1 species